AGAGUUUGAUCCUGGCUCAGAUUGAACGCUGGCGGCAUGCUUUACACAUGCAAGUCGAGCGGCAGCGCGGGGGCAACCCUGGCGGCGAGCGGCGAACGGGUGAGUAAUGCAUCGGAACGUGUCCCGGAGUGGGGGAUAACGCCGCGAAAGCGGCGCUAAUACCGCAUAUGCUCUGAGGAGGAAAGCGGGGGACCAGCGAUGGCCUCGCGCUCUGGGAGCGGCCGAUGUCCGAUUAGCUAGUUGGUGAGGUAAAGGCUUACCAAGGCGACGAUCGGUAGCUGGUCUGAGAGGAUGAUCAGCCACACUGGGACUGAGACACGGCCCAGACUCCUACGGGAGGCAGCAGUGGGGAAUUUUGGACAAUGGGGGCAACCCUGAUCCAGCCAUGCCGCGUGCGGGAAGAAGGCCUUCGGGUUGUAAACCGCUUUUGGCCGGGAAGAAAGGGCUUGGGCUAAUACCCUGGGUUUUUGACGGUACCGACAGAAUCAGCACCGGCUAACUACGUGCCAGCAGCCGCGGUAAUAC
rnacentral:rRNA from 1 species